AUUGAACGCUGGCGGCAUGCCUUACACAUGCAAGUCGAACGGCAGCACGGGGCAACCUGGUGGCGAGUGGCGAACGGGUGAGUAAUGCAUCGGAACGUACCUUUCAGUGGGGGAUAACGUAGCGAAAGUUACGCUAAUACCGCAUAUUCUGUGAGCAGGAAAGCAGGGGAUCGCAAGACCUUGCGCUGAUUGAGCGGCCGAGGUCAGAUUAGCGAGUUGGUGAGGUAAAGGCUCACCGAGGCGACGAUCUGUAGCGGGUCUGAGAGGAUGAUCCGCCACACUGGAACUGAGACACGGUCCAGACUCCUACGGGAGGCAGCAGUGGGGAAUCUUGGACAAUGGGGGCAACCCUGAUCCAGCCAUGCCGCGUGAGUGAAGAAGGCCUUCGGGUUGUAAAGCUCUUUCGGCCGGGAAGAAAUCGCACGGGCUAAUACCCUGUGUGGAUGACGGUACCGGAAUAAGAAGCACCGGCUAACUACGUGCCAGCAGCCGCAGUAAGAC
rnacentral:rRNA from 1 species